rnacentral:rRNA from 1 species
CAGCCGCCGCGGUAAUAUGUAGGGUGCGAGCGUUAAUCGGAUUUACUGGGCGUAAAGCGUGCGCAGGCGGCCCGUUAAGACAGGUGUGAAAUCCCUGGGCUCAACCUAGGAAUUGCGCUUGUGACUGGCGGGCUCGAGUACGGUAGAGGGGGGUGGAAUUCCUGGUGUAGCAGUGAAAUGCGUAGAGAUCAGGAGGAACACCGAUGGCGAAGGCAGCCCCCUGGGCCUGUACUGACGCUCAUGCACGAAAGCGUGGGGAGCAAACAGGAUUAGAUACCCGGGUAGUCCACGCCCUAAACGAUGGGUACUAGCCGUUUGGUGCGCGAUAGCGCUGAGUGGCGAAGCUAACGCGUGAAGUACCCCGCCUGGGGAGUACGGCCGCAAGGUUGAAACUUAAAGGAAUUGGUGGG